rnacentral:rRNA from 1 species
AUUGAACGCUGGCGGCAGGCUUAACACAUGCAAGUCGAGCGGGGUGAUGGUGCUUGCACUAUCACUUAGCGGCGGACGGGUGAGUAAUGCUUAGGAAUCUGCCCAUUAGUGGGGGACAACAUCUCGAAAGGGAUGCUAAUACCGCAUACGUCCUACGGGAGAAAGCAGGGGAUCACUUGUGACCUUGCACUAAUAGAUGAGCCUAAGUCGGAUUAGCUAGUUGGUGGGGUAAAGGCCUACCAAGGCGACGAUCUGUAGCGGGUCUGAGAGGAUGAUCCGCCACACUGGGAAUGAGACACGGCCCAGACUCCUACGGGAGGCAGCAGUGGGGAAUAUUGGACAAUGGGGGGAACCCUGAUCCAGCCAUGCCGCGUGUGUGAAGAAGGCCUUAUGGUUGUAAAGCACUUUAAGCGAGGAGGAGGCUCUUUUGGUUAAUACCCAAGAUGAGUGGACGUUACUCGCAGAAUAAGCACCGGCUAACUCUGUGCCAGCCGCCGCGGUAA